rnacentral:lncRNA from 1 species
UUUAUGUAUAGAAUGUCAUUCAAAGAAGUUACCAGAAUAAGGGGAAAGCAAUCAAACACAAGACCUAAGAGAUGUAACAGAUUACCAGUCCUCUCUUUAAACACUAGUGGGCCAAACUACUCCAGCAUCCCUUAUCAGCCCUCAAAAUUUCUACUCAACCAGUAGAUCACAAGUGGCUAAAUUGAAUGUUAGAUGGCACCUGAAGAACCUUGACUUCCAACUAUAUCUUUGCUGGACAUAAUUUCAAAACAAAUGAAAGAUCAAACAACAACCUUUGUAAGGUAAUUGCAUUUCCACUGUAGUUUUAAGACUGUAAUCGAGUUUGCU